AAAUGUUCUGGAACCAGAAAGAGGGAAAGAGAAAUAUUCUCAGCAAGAAUGACCCAAGAAGAGGGAUGUCCCAGGACGCCCCCAAAGCACUGUAACCUCAAAAACUCAUCAAUGAACCACACCCCUGGCAGGCGUGUGUCUUACCA